GGCGAAGCUGAGAACUUAAGCGCCAGUAAACGGCGGUGGUAACUAUAACCAUCCUAAGGUAGCGAAAUUCCUUGUCGGGUAAGUUCCGACCUGCACGAAUGGCGUAACGACUUCUCGACUGUCUCAACCAUAGGCCCGGUGAAAUUGCAUUACGAGUAAAGAUGCUCGUUUCGCGCAGCAGGACGGAAAGACCCCGGGACCUUUACUAUAGCUUGAUAUUGGUGUUCGGUUCGGCUUGUGUAGGAUAGGUGGGAGACUUUGAAGCAGCAACGCCAGUUGUUGUGGAGUCGUCGUUGAAAUACCACUCUGGUCGUGCUGGAUGUCUAACCUGGGUCCGUGAUCCGGAUCAGGGACAGUGUCUGGUGGGUAGUUUAACUGGGGCGGUUGCCUCCUAAAGGGUAACGGAGGCGCCCAAAGGUUCCCUCAGCCUGGUUGGCAAUCAGGUGUUGAGUGUAAGUGCACAAGGGAGCUUGACUGUGAGACUGACGGGUCGAGCAGGUACGAAAGUAGGGACUAGUGAUCCGGCGGUGGCUUGUGGAAGCGCCGUCGCUCAACGGAUAAAAGGUACCCCGGGGAUAACAGGCUGAUCUUCCCCAAGAGUCCAUAUCGACGGGAUGGUUUGGCACCUCGAUGUCGGCUCGUCGCAUCCUGGGGCUGGAGUAGGUCCCAAGGGUUGGGCUGUUCGCCCAUUAAAGCGGUACGCGAGCUGGGUUUAGAACGUCGUGAGACAGUUCGGUCCCUAUCCGCUGUGCGCGUAGGAGUGUUGAGAAGGGCUGUCCCUAGUACGAGAGGACCGGGACGGACGAACCUCUGGUGUGCCAGUUGUCCUGCCAAGGGCAUGGCUGGUUGGCUACGUUCGGGAGGGAUAACCGCUGAAAGCAUCUAAGCGGGAAGCCUGCUUCGAGAUGAGCACUCCCACCUCCUUGAGAGGGUAAGGCUCCCAGUAGACGACUGGGUUGAUAGGCCGGAUAUGGAAGCCCUGUGAGGGGUGGAGUUGACCGGUACUAAUAGGCCGAGGGCUUGUCCUC
rnacentral:rRNA from 1 species